rnacentral:rRNA from 1 species
GUCCUACGGGGGGCAGCAGUGGGGAAUUUUGGACAAUGGGCGCAAGCCUGAUCCAGCUAUUCCGCGUGUGGGAAGACGGCCUUCGGGUUGUAAACCACUUUUGUAGAGAACGAAAAGUCUAUUGAUAAUACCGAUAGACGAUGACGGUACUCUAAGAAUAAGCACCGGCUAACUACGUGCUAGCAGCCGCGGUAAUACGUAGGGUGCGAGCGUUAAUCGGAAUUACUGGGCGUACAGCGCGCGUAGGCUGUUGUGUAAGUUGGGGG